ensembl:miRNA tni-mir-19b tni-mir-19b
CAAUCAUCGUUUGGUCAGUUUUGCUGGUUUGCAUUCAGCUUUGUUGCUGUGCUGUGCAAAUCCAUGCAAAACUGACU